rnacentral:rRNA from 1 species
CCUACGGGUGGCUGCAGUCGAGAAUCUUCCGCAAUGGGCGAAAGCCUGACGGAGCGACGCCGCGUGCAGGAUGAAGGCCCUUGGGUUGUAAACUGCUGUCAGAGGGGAUGAAAUCACGGUUGGCUAUCCUUCCGUGUUGACAGAGCCUCAAAGGAAGCACGGGCUAAGUACGUGCCAGCAGCCGCGGUAACACGUACUGUGCGAACGUUAUUCGGAAUCACUGGGCUUAAAGGGUGCGUAGGCGGUUUAUCAAGUCAGAUGUGAAAUGCCUGAGCUCAACUGAGGCACUGCGUUUGAAACUGAUAGACUUGAGUAUUCCAGGGGUAUGCGGAACUGCCAGUGGAGCGGUGAAAUGCGUUGAUAUUGGCAGGAACACCAGUGGCGAAGGCGGCAUACUGGGGGAUAACUGACGCUGAGGCACGAAAGCCAGGGUAGCGAAC